rfam:TPA: Bos taurus chromosome 6, whole genome shotgun sequence.
UCCCUCGUAGCUAAGUUGGUAAGGAAUCUGCCUGCAAUGCAGGAGACCCAGGUUCGAUCCCUGGGUCGGGAA